CCAUGUCAGUGGGAUAGCUGUACCUGGCAGUUCUGGUUGGUCCUGGCUGACAGCUCAGGUGUGUGGCUCCUGGCGGUGCCCUCGGGUAGUGGGACAAAGCUUGUGGGUGCCCAGGCAGGGGUCCCCCCCUGGGGAGGAGCUGGUGCUGCUGCCAGCCAGUAGUGACAUGACCGCCCAGGUCUCAUGGCUGGGGCUGAGUCUGCAGAUCUGUUGAGACAGGCACUGGGUUGGGCUCCCUGAGCUGCUGUUGGAGGCUGCAGGCAGGGAGCUUGGUGGGACAGGCUGUUGUUGCCCUGAGGGGCUCUCCCCUGGUGACACAUCACUGCAGGUGCCAGGCUAGAGCGGGGGCUCAGACAGGCUACCCAUGCUGCUGUACACAGCAUGGCUGUGGCCUGGAUCUUGGGGCACAAGGAUUUCAGUCAGCUGCUGCAUGAAGGGCAUGGUCUUGUAGGCACUCCAUGACUGACAGUUGUGGUCAGUGAUGGUGACCCCCUUUGCCUGCAAGGCCUUGACCUUUAUGUCGCACUGACUGGUUGUGCCUGUGCUCCAACAUUUGGCUUGACAGCCCUUCGUAGAUGUGGACAUUGGAUUGCCUGUCCUGUUCAAACUGGUGCUGCACCUCUGCCUUACUCCAUAGUGCUAUGAGGUUGCCAGUCUCCUCCUGUGACCAAUCAGGGCCCUGGGUGGUGGUGAAUGGCAUUGAUGAGUCAUUAUGGUUCCUGCUCUGGCUCUUUUGGCCUCUGCAAUGCUGUCCGUGUGCUGCUAGGCCUGAGCAGCUGCCUGCAGCACUCAACACAGAGGCACCGCAUGCAGCUGGGCCGGAGGGCUGGCAGGCCUGCAGAAGCCUGGAGCACUGCAGGGCUGGCUGGAUGGUGCAGGCCUGCAGUGCCAGGCAGUGGCGCCUGUGUUCAAGUAGGCUGGCAGAGGUAACCUGUGGUCUGUGCAGAGGCAGCAGAGGCUAAGAGUUUCCCAAGCUCCAUGCUGUUGUGCCCAAGGGCUCAAAAUGCCUGCAGGCUUUUAAAGGGCCUGUGGCUGGGGCUGCCACAGAGACGGGCUAGCCCUGGGGCAGAAGAAGCUCCACAAAGGCUGGGGCUCCCCCUAACCACUGCAGCAUGUGGGUGAGUGGAUUGCCACCCCCAUCUCCUUGACUGUGGGCUCCCCUUCUAAACCAUGCUCCUGGCUCUCCUGGCACUGUAAUUUGAGCUGAUCUGUGCUGCCCUUCCCUGUCUUGCCCCCUGGGCUGGGACAGGACAUGAGAACCAGAGAAGAAAGGGUGAGCUUGGAGAUCCUGUCUACAACAGUAGUUGUAGUGAUGAAGAGAGUUAUGGCCUGGGGUUCACAGAUUAACCCCUCAGGGGUUGCAUGUGGCCUGCAGCCAUCGGUUAGAGAGCCCUGGUUUACAGAAUCUUUUCCCACUGACUGUUACUUUUUUUUUCCUUCUUUCCUAUUGUGUAUUGACAGAUAUCAAGAGUCUCCAGGAGACAUUAAAAUCAUUAACGGAGUUAACUAAGGCAUGGAGAAAUACAUACCUUUUCCAAGGCAAAUGUGUUUAGUAUUUUUUUAAAAAUAUGUCAUGUUUUAAGUAUAAUUAUAAUUUUAAAGUGACAAAGACUUUGUUUAGGAGGGUUUCAUCUUCUAUCAUUGCAACUUCAUGGACAGAGAAAUGAACUCUUCUGUAAGAAUUUAUACUCCAUGCCCUUUCACAGUGUAUGGCAAUGGUUUUUCAUUUCAUUAUAACCCAAGAUUAGUAUGUUUAUAUGAACAGAGUACAUGCACAUUUUAAUUCCUUGUUUUACUUGCUUCAUGAAAACCAGUUGUAUAAAAGAAUGUGAACAAAGCAUUACUUCUAGUCUUCUUCCUGAAAGAAUUCUGUUUAUAACUACUAGAUGUCCUGUAGGUGGCAUUGUAUAGUAAGAAGACAGUAUCUACUAGGAAAACAAGUUAAAAUCCACUCACUCGACAAAGAUAUGUCAAAGUGCAUUCAUCUUCUGUUGCUGACUAGUAAAUCCAGAUUCUUUUUCCAGUGCCAGUCAUAAGUCUGAGUAUAGCACAAACAAGCCAUGCAUAAUUUGAGUCAUUGUUUGUAUGUCUACUCUUUGCUCUCUGACCUCAGUUUGUCAUAGACUUUCUCUCCACCUUACUUUUUCCAUCAUGCUUUUUUCCAUUGUUUAUAUUUAGGUAUAAAAGUAGCCAGUAUAGACAUGAGGCUGUAAAAUGUUGGUAUGCUGGUUUUAGCCUUUUUUUAUAGGAACUCCAGAGAAUUUAUAUCUGUGUUUCAUUUCUCCAUCUGCUUCUGCUGGGAACAUUGCUGCCAAAUCAUUCCAGCUGCUUCAUCACAGUUUCAAACACCAACCACGUUUGUCCAUCUUGUUACCACCCUUUUUCAUAUUCUAAUGUUCUCUUUACCAUGUCUUGGGGUUUAUACUUAUAUUUUCAGUCUUACUAGAGGACUUUAUAAUACUCUGCCAUUUAGAACUGGAAGAAUACUUUUGGCUGUUUACUUUCAAUAUGAGCAUCUAUCUUCACUUUUUCAGGAAUAACAGUUUUGUUACUAAUCACUAGUGACAUUCAUAAAAGAGAUACUAAAGAAUUUAUAGCUGUCCUCCUGCUUGCAGGUACCACUUUUGAUCAUAGACUUUAUUUCUUUUAGUCUAAUUAUAUUCUGUUCCUGUUUGAUUCAAUUAGAAGUCUUUCCAGUGUAGCAUCUGGAGCUUUUGAUCUUCUUUAAGCUGUUUUUCAUCUCCAAUGUAACCAUGCAAAAAUUUCAGUUUUUCAGGCAAUGCACAUGGCACGUCACCUCAGAUUCCAUCUGUAUCAUGGGAACAGAGCUGAAAGUAAAGUUUCAGCCCUGAUGUCACACAGCUCUGCUCAGGGACAGAAUGCCUAAAAGGGGGUUGCUGCAGUGCAAGGCGUUGAUAAUCUCCCCUCCAGGAGCAACCCGAAGUCGGUUAGUGCAACCCAAGCAAAGAAUGGUGUUAUGGACAAGAAGCAUGACCAGGAAAUCCAGGAAAUUCUUUGAUUCAAUGCCCUGGCCAGAACCAGAAGCAAUGUAACUUUGAGCCUGAUCAAAUGUAUCUAGCUUUAUUGUCUCUUCCAAAAGUGACAGUGAUGCAAACCAGACUGCUGUCCCCUGGAGGAAUCCUUCUGAGUGCAGCCCCAGCUGGCAGUUUUGAGCUUCUUAAUAAACAGUCUGUCUUGAUAUUUUCUUGA